rnacentral:rRNA from 1 species
UACGUAGGGGGCAAGCGUUGUCCGGAUUUAUUGGGCGUAAAGAGCGUGUAGGCGGUUUGGUAGGUCCGUUGUGAAAACUCGAGGCUCAACCUCGAGACGCCGAUGGAAACCAUCAGACUAGAGUCCGGAAGAGGAGAGUGGAAUUCCUGGUGUAGCGGUGAAAUGCGCAGAUAUCAGGAAGAACACCCGUGGCUAAGGCGGCUCUCUAGUACGGUACUGACGCUGAGACGCGAAGGCGUGGGGAGCGAACAGG